CAUGCAGUCGAACGGGAAGCCACCUUCGGGUGGUGGAGAGUGGCGCACGGGUGAGUAACACGUAGCUGACCUGCCCUGGAGAGGGGGAUAACCGGUGGAAACACCGGCUAAAACCUCAUGAUCUCACCCUGACUAAUAAGGGGUGAGCAAACACUACGGUGCUCUAGGAUGGGGCUGCGGGCCAUCAGCUAGUUGGUACGGUAAUGGCGUACCAAGGCGACGACGGCUAGGGGACCUGAGAGGGUGACCCCCCACACUGGGACUGAGACACGGCCCAGACUCCUACGGGAGGCAGCAGUCAGGAAUAUUGCGCAAUGGGCGAAAGUCUGACGCAGCGACGCCGCGUGGGUGAUGAAGGCCUUCGGGUUGUAAAGCCCUUUUCUGCGUGACGAGGAAGGACGGUAGCGCAGGAAUAAGUCUCGGCUAACUACGUGCCAGCAGCCGCGGUAAAACGCAGGAGGCGAACGUUAUCCGGAAUUACUGGGCGUAAAGGGCGUGCAGGUGGCUGAUUAAGUCGGUCGUGAAAGCUCCCGGCUAAACUGGGAGAGGUCGGACGAUACUGAUCAGCUCGAGGGCGACAGAGGAGCGUAGAAUUCAGCGUGUAGUGGUGAAAUGCGUAGAGAUGCUGAGGAAUACCAGAGGCGAAGGCGGCGCUCUGGGUCGCACCUGACACUGAGGCGCGAAAGCACGGGGAGCGAACGGGAUUAGAAACCCCGGUAGUCCGUGCCGUAAACGAUGCCUACUAGAUGUUCGAUCCUCUGCGGAGGGUUGGGUAUCGUAGCUAACGCGUUAAGUAGGCCGCCUGGGGACUACGGCCGCAAGGCUAAAACUCAAAGGAAUUGACGGGGACCCGCACAAGCAGCGGAGCGUGUGGUU
rnacentral:rRNA from 1 species